ACCCGCCGGCGCUGACCACGCUGGCCCCGGCCCCUGCCAUUGACUUUAUUGUUGCUUAGGAGAGCCUUGCAAGUUUGUUUGAAGGUACACUUAGCAUUCCGAAAAUCGCACAAUGGUAUGUCUUAUGUUGGACCUGUUACUACUAAUGGAUUGUUAUCUUAUAUUAUAUCAGCCCAACAAAAGUAAAUAUACAUAGCUGUACAUAGCUGUUAGCCAUAUUUUUCAGCUUAGGGACCAUUAUAAGAGUGCUAAACUUGCUUCCAAACUCAAUUCCUCAUGGAAUUAACAAAAGUGGUCUUUGGGUAUUAUUGUUAUUUACUAUAAUAUGAAUUAUUAAUCACAUUAGAAAGACCAAAUUAAAUAAAAAAAACUAACUAUACAAGUCAUAUUAGAGUCAUAAGUAGUGGAAAAUUGUAGUCAAAGAAUACUAAAAAUAUCUACUAGAAAAGGGUAUUUUCCUCUCUAAUUUGUUUUCUAUUUUUCCUCUUUCAAAAUAGUAGAUUAGGUAUUUUCUUUGACUGGAAUGUGGAAGAAAGUACUCUUUCAUUCUAACAAAUGCCCUCGUUUUCUUUCCUUGUUUGAGAUCAAUUAAUUGUUCUUGUUUAAAACUAUUGCUUCUGUUGUUACUCAAAUCUUUCUAAAUUCGUUGUUUGUAUUUGCACAAUUUUCCUGAUGUGUUGCUGCAUCCAUUGAUGAGUUCUGUAUUCUUCAUUGCAGUUUUGGAAGGUAGACCCUUGUUAGAGGUUAUGUUUUCUCCUCUUUUGCCUAGUUAGUUUUGCUCAAAUAUUUUGGCAAAUAUUAAUGGGAUCCAUGUAAUCACAUAAAUUCUCAACAUGGUUGUUCCUGGAAUCAAAGGACUCAUAUAUAGUUCUUUAAAAUUGGGUAAUUUAAUAUCAUUCUUAAUUGAGUUUGCCUCUUUAUUAAUUCUUUUUCUUCCAAUUUUCCAUUUCUGGUUUUGUUGACUAAAUUUUACAUAUCAUCUGAUCAUGUGGUUUUCUUACCUAACCUGGUUGGAGGUUUACUUCUCGUUUUGUAUUGUUGAUUUAUGACUAUUCAUGAUUAAAUGAGUUUGAUGCCAUCUAGUAGAGUAAUUUUUCUUCUGAUGUCACUUUACUUGUUAGUUAUUCAAAUUUAAUCAAAGCAAUUUGUUUGAAUGCAUUUUUUUGUUCUUGAAAUUGCUUACCUCUCAUUCUUCCAUCAAUUGAUUAUUACUUCACAUGUUUAUAUCAUAUAUAUGUAUCAUUUGCAUUUUUUUUUCUUGGGUAUCAGAUUUAGGUAUUAUCGAUAUAGGUGAGUCAUGUGAUCAUUGACUACUUAUAAGAUAUGAGUGCGUUUGUUUCACUCUUUCUUUUAUAUUAUAACCCAUUAUUUGCAGGCCUAUGAUAAACAGAGUCAGAGAUCAAUUAGCUGUGGGAGAAGUUUAUAAGAUGAUUUUUUUUCUUUUUUUUUUUUUUUCGUCAUGAAUCAUGGCUCUUAUAGGGUAACUAGCAUGAUUUCAUGUUGAUUUUCCAGUUUAAGACCACUGGUAACCCCUGCAACUUCUGAUUUUAUACCUAAACUUGGAUUGAAAAUUACUCCAUUUGUUGAGUUUUAACAAAUUACUCAGGAUUCUGAUUAAUUAGUGGGUAUGCUUUAUCCUUUUUCCCCCUAAUGUUUUCUUUAUUUGUUUCUCUCGGAUUUCUGUUAAUAUUUCUUAUACUUUUGUUUCUUGAAUAUCAUUUUUUAAUAGCUGUUAUGGGUUUCCACUUAUAUCAGAUGUUAUGAGUUUUGAGGUUUUAAAAUUUAUAUUUUCUUUCCUUAUCUAAAUGUCUAAAUUAUUUGCUGUUUUGGGUUGAGGAUUCAGUGUGCUGAGUAUGUGGAUCAACUUAAUGUAUUUGAUAUCAUUUAAGGAGACAUUUGAGAGAGCACUUACUUUCCUGUUCAUCUCUGUGGUCCUGGCAAAUUUCGUUAGCUUUUUGGUUUAUUUUUUGUCUAAGGUCAGAGUUUCAGGAUUCAACAUUUUGAUGUGCUGGUGAAAUACUGGUCCCAUUUUAUUUUGUUGCCUUUUAUAUUCAAUGAGAAUCUCCCUAUUGCCUCUACAGAAGGGAUCUUUAAACUUAAAAAGUCUAUUUUUUGUACGGUUUAGUUUAAAGUGUAUUUGUGCUAAUUUGUCAAUUUUUUUACCCCAAAGCUACCCUAAAUUCAGCAAGAAGCCUCCUCUGCUUCUCCGACUGUGUGUUGCCACUUGCCACAAGAUCAGUUCACGACUCUCUUUCAAGUUGAAGAUGUAAGCCUGCCAUGUUCAAACUGGUCGUAGUGAUGUCACUGAACAAUUUCUUUCAGGGUAUUGUGAGGCUCAAUCCUUGCUUCAAGAUUACGGAUGGAAAUAGUGGCCAACUUUAGAGGCAGUAACGUUGGCAUUGGAGGAGACAAAUUCACUGAGACCACCACAGUAAGAUUACGAUUGAGAAAGCUAAACAAGUUUAGGAAUUAACUUUUUAUUUUCUUUUUUAAGUUGGGUGUUGGAAUUUUGUUGGUUGAUGCUAGAACCCUGUGUGUGAAUAUAGUAUCCUCUUAAUUUUGUUUGUUGAUGUGUGAAUAUAUUCGUUCUUAUUCCUCACCAAUUUGUAUGCCCCUGAUCUCUUA